rnacentral:lncRNA from 1 species
ACAAAUCUCAAAUUUGAGUGUAGUCUAAAGACCAAAAUUAAAAUUGAAUCAUUUUUAUAUAAUCUAGAAAAAUAAAGGAGCUAGAAUUGAAAUUUAACCAUUUUAUUAAUAGGGAAAAAAAGGUAAUAAAAAAAAACAUGAAUGUAGUAAAAGGAAUGCCCUAAAUGCUUCCUUCUAUAUAUAAUAGUCUAGAUUAUGCUAAUAUAAAUAAAAAAAUACAAAAAAGCC